ensembl:lincRNA
CACACCCUGACCAAUCCACUAUAUAAUAAUCUUUCAUUGUCAGUGUGACACUCUUUGGCUGAACCAUGGCGCUGCAAAUCAUCUCUGUGUUUGUUUUUACUCUGUUUUUUCCUAAAGCGCUGACACUGAAGUGUUACAACUGUGACGUGCCAUCUUCAAAUUGCUCCCAAAAAACCUGCAAUUCAAGCUCACAUUGCUUCUCCAGUAUCAAAUAUAUUGGUGGUAUUGAUAAUGGUAUUUUCACGUGGGAUUGCGCAAAUGCCCUUUAUGAUAAUUGGACUGUAAAUUUUGGAAAACUUGGAUACACCAUGAAAGUUUGUUCUUCAGAUCUGUGACAAAAGAUCUUCAGAACAAUGCUACAACAGACUCAGCUAAUGAAAAGAGCUGCUACACCUGCAACGGCACAGACUGCUCUCAGACAAUGUCUUGUAAAGGUGAUGAGACCAAGUGCAUCACUGCAACAGGUGCCAUCUACCCUACUUUAAAAGGAUGUGCAAACCAAAUUGUCUGUGCUAACACUACUGUAGUGGAACAUUUCCUAUCCCAGUAUGGCUUUGCAAACACUAGUUUGUCAUGUUGUGAUGGAAACCUGUGUAAUAACGGGUAAAUUCUGAGGCAGGGAGCUGUGCUGCUGCUCAUACCAGUGCUUUCUCUUCUUUUCUCCAUCUGAGAUCUAUUUUUAGGAGAUUUUUAUUAUUUUGUUAUAAUUUAAAUGCUUUUCUUUAAACUAACACUGAACCAAUUAAUUUUUUUUGCAAAUGGAAACUCAUUCAAAUGUUUUAAAUGACUAUAGGAUAAGUGUACUUUUGUGCUUCUAGUCAUUUAAAAAUAAGAUGGUGUGUAUAAUACAUAGCUAUAAAAACAUUUACAUAUUUUUAUAGGCAUAAUUUUGGUGAAACAAAAUAAUAGUUGACUCCUAAUUAAAAUUUUAUUAAUUAAAUCAAUUUUUUUUAUUCAUAAACUAUGUUGCCAAAUGGUUUGGAACAUCUGCACAUGCACGUUAAUGACAUCCCAAUCUUAUUCAGUAGGGUUCAAUAUGGAGUAGGUCUAAAUUUUGCAGCUGCAAACUGGCUUCAACUUAUCUGGAAAUUAUUCCAACAUGGUUUAAGAGUGAAUGUUUCUAGAAAUUUUGAACAUUCUUCUUGAAUAGCAUUUGCGAAGUCAGACACUGAAAUUGGGUGAGAAGGUCUGGUUCAUCAUCUCCGCUCUAAUUUAUCUCAAAAGUGUUUAGUUGGGUUGAGGUCAGGACUCUGUGCAGGCCGGUAAAUUUUCUGGACACCAAACUUGCACAUCCAUUUUUGCUCAUUCAUUGCUCAUUCUUCUUUAUAGACUUUGCUUUGUGCAAUGGUGUGCAGUCAUGUUGAAACAUGAAGUGGUCAUUCCCAAACUUUUCCCACAAAGUCGGGACGGGAGCAUGAAAAUAUACAGAAAGGCUGCGUCCGAAACCACAUUCUUCCAUACAAUAUAGUUCUCUAAAAUCAGUAUGUGAG